rnacentral:tRNA from 1 species
GGUGAUUUGGCCGAGUGGUCUAAGGCGUCAGUUUAAGGCACUGAUCCGAAAGGGCGCGGGUUCGAAUCCCGUGAUCACCA